UGCUGACUGCAGCUUUCCAUCUGCACUAGCCCAGUUCAGGAGAGGAGUGCUGGGGACUCAUAUCCUAAACCUCAAUGAAGGAACUCCCUUCACACAAAAGCUAGCUUUUUUUCCAUCAGUAAGCUCUGAGCUCCUUAAAGAGAGAGGUCUGGUCUGUUUAUUCUCCGUGCCUGGUAUGGAACCUGACACACACACACAAAAGACUCUCAAUAAAUGUUUAUGGAACUGGGAAACAUCUUUGUGGGGGGGAUUGGGGGAAGUCUUUGGCUAAAGGGAGUUGAAGCAUCACUCAUGGGCAGCUCCUAUCCUGAUGCUGGCCCUUGUUCUGUGAGAGUCAGCAAGCAGUGUUAUAGAG